GACGAACGCUGGCGGCGUGCUUAACACAUGCAAGUCGAACGGAAAGGCCCUGCUUUUGUGGGGUGCUCGAGUGGCGAACGGGUGAGUAACACGUGAGUAACCUGCCCUUGACUUUGGGAUAACUUCAGGAAACUGGGGCUAAUACCGGAUAGGAGCGCCUGCUGCAUGGUGGGGGUUGGAAAGUUUCGGCGGUUGGGGAUGGACUCGCGGCUUAUCAGCUUGUUGGUGGGGUAGUGGCUUACCAAGGCUUUGACGGGUAGCCGGCCUGAGAGGGUGACCGGCCACAUUGGGACUGCGAUACGGCCCAGACUCCUACGGGAGGCAGCAGUGGGGAAUAUUGCCCAAUGGGCGGAAGCCUGAUGCAGCAACGCCGCGUGCGGGAUGACGGCCUUCGGGUUGUAAACCGCUUUCGCCUGUGACGAAGCGUGAGUGACGGUAAUGGGUAAAGAAGCACCGGCUAACUACGUG
rnacentral:rRNA from 1 species